UACGUAGGGGGCUAGCGUUGUCCGGAUUUAUUGGGCGUAAGGAGCGUGUAGGCGGCCAGGUAGGUCUGCUGUGAAAACUCGAGGCUCAACCUCGAGACGUCGGCGGAAACCAUCUGGCUAGAGUCCGGAAGAGGAGAGUGGAAUUCCUGGUGUAGCGGUGAAAUGCGCAGAUAUCAGGAAGAACACCCGUGGCGAAGGCGGCUCUCUGGGACGGUACUGACGCUGAGACGCGAAAGCGUGGGGAGCGAACAGG
rnacentral:rRNA from 1 species